rnacentral:lncRNA from 1 species
CUUUUCUCCAACACAUCAGUGGCCCUCCAGCUGUUGAGUGGGGAGAGUGACAGGUUCAAUGAGAAGGACAUUCAGAUGCAUCCACAGAGGACUUUUCACCAGUACUCAUGUCUCCUUUCUGGAUCCUCAGCCCUCUGUUCUUUUCAAAGUCAUGAAGCUUUCAUUGUGUCCUAUGCUUUGGAAACUGCUGAGGAUCAGGACUCUUUGCCUUCUCUAGAGAUCUCACCAUCAGCUUUCUUAUUCCUGGCUCUUUCCAGUGUCCUUUAGAGAAUGUCAACCCUGGGGACUAGAAAGGGAAGGCAAUGUUGUUUGGGAGCUAAGCCAAGGCUGCAAAUUCUGUGUGAAGCCUGUCCCUGCCAUGACUGGUGCACGACCUGAGGUGAGUUACAUAAUCCUGGUCACCUCAAUUUCUUCAUGUAUGAAAUGGUUAAGUUCUUCCUUCAUAGGCUUGUUGUCAGGAAAAAUGAGAUACUGCAUGAAAAGCUCUUAUUCCAAUGUCUGACCACCAGUGUAGAAGAUGCAGGUAAGCAGUCAUCAGUCCUGAGGCGGGCUGCCCUGUGUGGUGGAGAUGCCCCAUGCACCAGGAUCCCUGAGGCAUUGCCCCUCCCCACCAUGGAAUUAUUGCAUCCACCCCUGUGCAUUAUAUCGUCAUAGAACAGCCUUAGUGCCCUACCCAGGGAAACUGAGUGAGAAAGGACAAGGCAUAGCCCCACAAUGUUUUCAGUUCCUGGAUCCCAGGUCUGUGCAAAAACAGAAUCUAGAACCAAGACUCUAAGACUCUGGGAAACAGGUCUGAGAUCUCCGAAGCCAGGAAGGUGCCUGAGUGUCAUUUCCAGAAUCUGUCAGAAACAGCUCCGAGCUCUCAGGGGCACCCGUCGCUGAGAUCACUGAGGCAGGGGGCUGCUUCCUGGCAUUGUUGAGUUUCAUUCUGUUCCUCAGAAGAACAGUGUGUUUUGCUUGGAGUUUGUUUCCAUUUUUGCAGGCCAGGAACUCUGCCACAGAUUUUCUGAGAAGCUAAGUGAAUGCUCCUUCUGUCAAUCUGAAAUUGGUGGGUGAGUUUUUUUUUUUUUUUUUUUUUUUUUUUUUGCCCCUUUGCUCCUUUUUUUCUUUAUUAAAGCUGACAAAUGGGGAAGAAAAUGAAAAAGAAAAGAACAAAUCCAGUGUCACAAGAUGCUGAGAAAAUAGCUUCUAUUUAUAGCCUGGUACAUUUCAGAGAUGUAAACACCUCUGCUAAUCGCUGCCCCUGCAGAAGGCCCUGGGGAUUACUGCACGGCCCUGGAGAGCUGGCAGCCACGUACGGCAGUGCAGUGAGGGCUAACAGGGCUAAUUGUGCUCCCAGUUGUUUUCAGAAACAGUGGGAAAAAAGCUCUGUGUCCUGCCCCCCACCCGCGGAACAGCAGAGGUCCCACACGGGCCUCCGUCCCCUCUCAGAGGAAGCAGAAUCUUGGCCCACAGGAUAAAUUUUAGUGGCGUGGGCACAGGGAUGGCCUGGCCAAAGCACUUCCAACUGGACAAAUCUAGCAACAAGAUAACAGCAGGAAGUCUUGCUUUGAGUGGCAGCGUGACCACAUGUUAACUGUGUAAUGUGGGGCAGUUCCUUUAGCAAACAUGAGGCUCAGUUUGCUUAUCCAUAAACUGGAACAAUUACAGCUUCUGCAGAGGAUAGGAUGAGAUAUCAGUGAAAAUAGAGUAAGUGAAGAACUGUCCAGACUUCUCAGUGUAUCAGCCACAAUUUCUGUCAUCCAAUCCAAAGUUUCUAGACAUGGAAAGAAACAGUAGACUCUGACUUAUGAUCAAGCAAAAAAGCAUUCUCUACAAAGAGAGCCCUGAGAUGAUUCGGAUGCUGAAUUUAGGAAGACAAGACUUCAAAACAACUAUUAUAAGUAUGUUCAAAAAUUUACAGGAAAAUAUGGUUAUCAUAAGUGAACAAUUGAAGAAUCUCACCAAGGAAAUGGAAACAAUAAAAUAAGAACCAAGUGCAAAUUCUAGAACUGAAAGUGCAAUAUUGGAACUGAAAAAUUCACCGAUGGGCCAAUCAACAGACCAGAUACUACAGAAACAAGAUAAGUAAUCUUGAAAAAAAAAAUGGAAAUUAUCCAUGCUGGAAAAAAGUAAAAUGUAUGUAUUUUAAACAAACAGAGUCUUUGUGGCUACUCGAACAAUAUCAUACAGCCUAACAUACAUGAAAUUUGAGUCUGAAAAGAAAAAAAGAGGAAACAGAACAGAAUUUUUUUAAUAGCAGCCAAAAUUUUUUAAAUUUUGGUAAAAAGCCAACCUACAGAUCGAAGAAACUCAUUAAACCCAAACAAUAUAAAAUUUAAAAAUCGCACUUGGGAACAUAAUGGUGAUCAUGCUGCAAAUAAAAUGACAAUCUUAAAAUCAGCCUGAGAGAAGAGAUACAUUCGCUCAAGGAGACAGUGCUAUGACUGAUGGCAGAGGCUGGACCAGGGCUCACGAUGGAAGGCACUGGAAGAAGAAAAGUGUCAACCCAGAAUUUGAUGUCCAGUGAGAAUAUCUUUCAAAAGUAAGACAUCUGCAGAUAGGCAAAACAUGAGAGAAUUCAUCACCAUCAGACUUUCUCAAAGAAAACAGUUCCAGCUGAAGCAAGGUUGGACCAGAUGGAAACUGGGAGGUUCAGAGAGGAAUGAAGAGUCCCAGAAAUGCAUCUGCAGCUUUUCAUCUUAGGAGACUGAAAUGGAUCUAAUGAGCCCAGCACUUCCUUGAUUUCCUCGAAUAAGUUUUCCACAAAAGGCAAAGACAAGUGAGACUCAGCCCCAUUUCUAAGGCAAGCCCAGUGGAGUCACUGCCUUUAAAUGCUAUCCACAAGGUAUGGUCAGCUUCAUUUGUACAAUGCCCAGGGCAUCCAAUGAAGAGGAGAAACCUUCAUCUCUGCUUCACAGGCUGAACCGACAUUCUGUGGACAUUGAUUCCACCUGGCCUCCACUGGAAAACAAAUGUACCCUACAUCCUUACCCAGAAAAAAGUCCUCUGCAUGCUUCUCCUGUGCAAGAGGGGUUGUUCGGGAUUACCCAGGAAUGGGGUGUCCUGGCAUGACAGAAGAAUUGGAUGCAGCAAUUGCAGAUUCAGAAAGAAUACUGCUUAAACAAUAAAGAAAAGUCAUCAAUUGUACAUUUAUAUCAAUGGCUUAAAAUUGACCAUUGAAAAUCUUGCUUAAUCAAAACAGACCCUGCAAUAGUCAGUACCCACACCGGAUUUCAUGUCGAAGAAGGUCGUUGUCACGGCUUUCAGGAAGCUCCUCAGAGGUGAAUCAGAUAAUGAAGCAG